rnacentral:rRNA from 1 species
AUUGAACGCUGGCGGCAGGCCUAACACAUGCAAGUCGAACGGUAACAGGAAGCAGCUUGCUGCUUCGCUGACGAGUGGCGGACGGGUGAGUAAUGUCUGGGAAACUGCCUGAUGGAGGGGGAUAACUACUGGAAACGGUAGCUAAUACCGCAUAACGUCGCAAGACCGAAGAGGGGGACCUUAGGGCCUCUUGCCAUCGGAUGUGCCCAGAUGGGAUUAGCUAGUAGGUGGGGUAACGGCUCACCUAGGCGACGAUCCCUAGCUGGUCUGAGAGGAUGACCAGCCACACUGGAACUGAGACACGGUCCAGACUCCUACGGGAGGCAGCAGUGGGGAAUAUUGCACAAUGGGCGCAAGCCUGAUGCAGCCAUGCCGCGUGUAUGAAGAAGGCCUUCGGGUUGUAAAGUACUUUCAGCGGGGAGGAAGGGAGUAAAGUUAAUACCUUUGCUCAUUGACGUUACCCGCAGAAGAAGCACCGGCUAACUCCGUG